rnacentral:tRNA from 2 species
GCGGGGGUAGCCAAGCCAGGCCAACGGCGGCGGAUUCAAGAUCCGCUCCCGCAGGGGUUCCGGGGUUCAAAUCCCCGCCCCCGCACCA